AUUGUUUCAACGAUGACUUACCUUUCCAUCACAUGUGAACCGAUUUUUCAAACCUCUUUCCCAUUUCACGGUUUCCCACGCUGGCUCUGCCCCUCCUUUCUUAUGCGUAUCGUUUACACUUUCUCAUACCUACUUCUAAUAUCACAUAACAACAGUCUUUCUUUCUGAUAUCACCUCUCUCAUCUCUCUCAUCUCUUUCCUCACCGUUUUCCGCUUCUUUCGCCUUUCCUCCUCUAUUUAGAUCUACAAAACACCGACGAUGAUGUUGUUGAUAUUUUGUUGUUGUUGCUGUUGCAGGUUUUGAGAAAUUGGAUUUCGUUGAUCUAAAUUGUUUCAUCAACGAGUUGUUGAGAAGCUACAUGGGUAACAAUCCGACGAUGAUGUUGUAGAUAUUUUUUGUUUUUGAAGGUUUCGAGAAAUUGGAUCCGGUUGAUCUAUAUCGUUAUAUCAACGUGUUGUUGAGAAUCUAAAUGGCAUGUUCAAGUUUAAGUAGCUGCUUGAUGGACAGAAUAUUGUAGAGCUAUUUUUUGAACAAAAGAGAAAUACAUUAGUUUCGUAACAUAAGUUAUUAUCGGGAGCUGCAAGGAAGUUUCUGUGGGGCUGACGGAAAUUGAUAUAUGUCCUUCGUGAAGAUUUGAAUCGUGAUAAAUGUAAGCUUAUGUUGAAGCCGAGGAUGAAGAUGGCCGACCAGAUGAAGCAGUUGUUGAUGAAUAUUGACAUUAUCAUCUGGAACUCAAUGAUUCAGUCGUUGUUGAUGUGUUCCAAAUCCAAUGCUUCCAUGGCUUAAGGUUUGCACUGAGGAUGUGUCUUUUACAAACCAUCUUUCUCCUGAAAAAGAUGGAGUUGGCUCAAGACACUGUGUUUGAUCCAGUAUCUCUGACUUAUGGUCAUAUAAUCUGCUACAUCUGUGCUUGCUCAGCUGCAUCGGUAUCUAUUGUCGAUGGACUUAAGGCCUCGAAUCCUAAAGAAAAAUGUCCUCUGUGCCGCAAGGCCAAUGUUAUAAGAUAUUUCCCCACACAAGUAUAAAUACAACAACAGUUUGGGCUAUUUAUUAUGAUCCAAAUACAGGGCUUUAUUGCUCUGCAGAAUCAAGGAAAUGAUUGCAGUUUUCAAUGUAUAUGGUAUAAUUUUCAUUCUCAUGGAUUCUGGGGCAAACGUGGAGUAUACAAAUUCACAAGGGAACUUUACAAAGUGCAUUAUGGGGGUGGAAUUCAAGUAGCUGUUAAAACUCUUUGGAGAGGAAGUAUUCACUGAUGAUGAUAAAGUGGCGUCUAAAUGUCAUCCAAUUUUUGGGUGCCGUGACAAAAAGCACUCCAAUGAUGAUUGUCACAUAAUAUCUACCUCAGAUCUGUGAGAAAACCUCAAAUGAAUGAACAAUAUUAUAGAAGUCAUUUCAAAUUCACGCUUCGUGUUAUACGGUGUGAACGAGUUGUUCGAAUAUACAGUGUGAAUAACGUACACCAACUUGCGACUUGGUAGAAGUGCAUGUGAUUAUUUGUGCGGCGGAGAGGUCCAACCAGAAAUUCCUAUUUUACAGAAAGCAUAUGGGGAUAGCAUGCAUAACAUUUUGCAUGUUUGUCCUGAUAUUUGCUAUGUGGUAUAUGCAUUGCAAAAGGAUGAUCAAAUUGAAGCCUGGGAUAUAUAACCAUAUUUUAAGAUCACUCACCAUGUGUCUUCAGCAGUGGUUUUGGAAGCUGUUUCAAAUUUCUGCGGUAUGUAGCAAUUGUUCAUCCCAGUUUGGCCCUUGAGUAAGAUGUCUGUUGUGAGUGUUAGUCAAAAGGGAGACUAUAUAUGUCAUUUAUUUUAUUUCCUAUAUAAAUAUAAAUAUCUUAUUAGUGUUGUAAUUGGCUGAGUUUGUUUUGACCGAGAGAUCUUAUAGAGAUCUUAUUAUUGUCUAUGUAGAGGUCUUUUAUGGAUUUGUGUUUUAUGUUGUUUAUGCAGUUCACAAAAGCUUCUAAAAUGUAAUUUUGCAAUGUAUUGGA